UUAUUUUACCUUUAAAGCUGAUUCUCACUGAUUGGUAAGCAUUAAAAUGCAUUGAUCUACAAAUGGAUACAGGCCCACAUGAUAAUUUGGAACUUCUUUGUUAACUGAUUAUCAGAGGAAGAUGAGCCUUCCUGCUUUUUUUGUUCCCAUUUUGCAUCUCAGCUUUGAAUAAAUCAGUCAUUACAUCAAACUAGCUGAAUAUACUGAAAUAAAGGAAGAUAUUAUUCUGUACCUGCAGUGGAGGCUGUGGCUUUCAGCAGCUGUUUUUCAUCAAAUUCUUGUCACUGGUGCUUAGCUCAUGACUUCUGUCAGUUCAGUAGUUUGGUUGAGUGGAUUUAAAAUCUGAGCAGCAAAUGUGUUGUCCAUAUCUUGUUUUUAUUUCAUUUAAAUGCUUGCUUGACUCUUUUAAAAAUGUGGACAUUAAUAUAGGUAGCUGUAUUUUUAUUUAGUAGUAGAAGUGUUUUUCAAAUAAGCCAGUUUAAUCUUUAAAAAAAAGAUAUGAUUUACAUUUAAGAAAGAAGAAAAGCAUGCCUGCCUUGGUAUGAGCUUACA